UACCCAGGGCCUGUUCCUCUGUGUCUGUUGACUGAACAACAAAAGAGAAUUGUCCAGGUGCCAUCCUAAGCUCAGAAAACCAAACCCCUAUGCAUGGGGCAUGGAUUCAGUGAGAGAGACCAGACCUGCCUUUACCAAAGCACAGAGAGAACCCAGACCCCGGAACACCCGAGGCAAGCCCACGAUGCCAUGUUGAGCAGUCACAGAGCCAGCCAUUGUUGAGAGACAUUGGGGGCAUUAAGGAAAACCACAUACAAAGCCACAGCUGUCAUUGCUCCCAUCAUCCUCCACAUGAAAGGCUGCUCCCUCCACUCCCUGACCCGCCAGGUACUUCUCUGAUGCCACUGCAUAUGUGAUUUCCUUGGCCCAGGGUAAUCUUUGCACAUCUCUUCCUACAGAAUAGUCAUUCUGAAAGACUCUGCUCCAAUUGCACCUUGAUCAAGAAAACUUGUCUGAAUUCUCACUCUGCAUACUGGGAGAACCCUAAGCUGGCCUCUAUUUUAACCCACAGACAAAGCCUCCUACUUAUUUGAAGUUUUGCACAUAGACUCUCAGAUCCUCAGAACAAGAACCUUUCUUCAUCUCUGCAUGUCCUUCUAAGC
rnacentral:lncRNA from 1 species